AAAGGUUUCGACGGGGGUAGGAAGCAAAGGUUGCAUGCCGGGGAUGGGGGUUGGCCUCGUUAAAAAUCCUCCACGGCUAUAAAUGCCGACAAUUAUGACUACGCUGUAGCAGCUUAAUAACCUGCUACCGUCCACCCGAGUUCUUCUCAUGGGCCCGGAGUGGACGUCAUUUACGUGAGAUAGCCGACCCGAAUGCCUGCGGCGGGAAGGUGAAAUGAAGCAGGAUCGCGGUCCGAGUAUCCUGUUCGGUGGAGACGAAGUCCGCUAAACCUUAAAAACCGAAACAAGCAUGUAGACGCCUUCUGCGUAUGACUUUCGGACGCGG
rnacentral:tmRNA from 1 species